rnacentral:rRNA from 1 species
AUUGAACGCUGGCGGCAGGCCUAACACAUGCAAGUCGAACGAGUGGCGGACGGGUGAGUGAUGUCUGGGAACCUGCCUGAUGGAGGGGGAUCACUACUGUAAACGUUAGCUAAUACCGCAUACCAUCGGAUGUGCCCAGAUGGGAUUAGCUCGUGGGUGGGGUAAAGGCUCCCCUAGGCGACGAUCCCUAGCUGGGCUGAGAGGAUGACCAGCCACACUGGAACUGAGACACGGUCCAGAAUCCUACGGGAGGCAGCAGUGGGGAAUAUUGCACAAUGGGGGCAAGCCUGAUACAGCCAUGCCGCGUGUAGGAAGAAGGCCUUCGGGUUGUAAAGUACUUUCAGCGGGGAGGCGUUACCCGCAGAAGAAGCACCGGCUAACUCCGUGCCAGCAGCCGCGGUAAUAC